GACGAACGCUGGCGGCGUGCCUAAUACAUGCAAGUUGAGCGCUGAAGGUUGGUACUUGUACCGACUGGAUGAGCAGCGAACGGGUGAGUAACGCGUGGGGAAUCUGCCUUUGAGCGGGGGACAACAUUUGGAAACGAAUGCUAAUACCGCAUAAAAACUUUAAACACAAGUUUUAAGUUUGAAAGAUGCAAUUGCAUCACUCAAAGAUGAUCCCGCGUUGUAUUAGCUAGUUGGUGAGGUAAAGGCUCACCAAGGCGAUGAUACAUAGCCGACCUGAGAGGGUGAACGGCCAAAUUGGGACUGAGACACGGCCCAAACUCCUACGGGAGGCAGCAGUAGGGAAAUUUUGGCAAUGGAGGAAAGUCUGACCGAGCAACGCCGCGUGAGUGAAGAAGGGUUUCGGAUCGUAAAACUCUGUUGGUAGAGAAGAACGUUGGUGAGAGUGGAAAGCUCAUCAAGUGACGGUAACUACACAGAAAGGGACGGCUAACUACGUG
rnacentral:rRNA from 1 species